GUGGGGAAUCUUGCGCAAUGGGCGGAAGCCUGACGCAGCAACGCCGCGUGCGGGAAGAAGGCCUUCGGGUUGUAAACCGCUUUCAGCAGGGACGAAGGCGAGCGGGUUAAUAGCCCGUCAGUUGACUGUACCUGCAGAAGAAGGUCCGGCUAACUACGUGCCAGCAGCCGCGGUAAUACGUAGGGACCGAGCGUUGUCCGGAAUCAUUGGGCGUAAAGAGCGUGUAGGCGGCCCCUUAAGUCCUGCGUGAAAUCCUGCGGCUCAACCGCAGACGGUCGUGGGAAACUGGAGGGCUAGAGUGCGGGAGAGGAGAGUGGAAUUCCCGGUGUAGCGGUGAAAUGCGCAGAUAUCGGGAAGAACACCCGUGGCGAAGGCGGCUCUCUGGAACGCAACUGACGCUGAGACGCGAAAGCGUGGGGAGCAAACAGGAUUAGAAACCCGAGUAGUCC
rnacentral:rRNA from 1 species